rnacentral:Y_RNA from 1 species
GGCUGGUCCUAAGGUAGUGAGUUAUCUCACUUGAUUGUUCACAGUCAGUUACAGAUUGAACUCCUUGUUCUGCUACUUAACCCCCCUCCCGCACUUGACUAGUCUAAA